rnacentral:rRNA from 1 species
UACGGGGGGGGCAAGCGUUGUUCGGAAUUACUGGGCGUAAAGGGCUCGUAGGCGGCCAACUAAGUCAGACGUGAAAUCCCUCGGCUUAACCGGGGAACUGCGUCUGAUACUGGAUGGCUUGAGGUUGGGAGAGGGAUGCGGAAUUCCAGGUGUAGCGGUGAAAUGCGUAGAUAUCUGAAGGAACACCGGUGGCGAAGGCGGCAUCCUGGACCAAUUCUGACGCUGAGUGAGCGAAAGCCAGGGGAGCAAACGGG